GACGAACGCUGGCGGCGUGCCUAAUACAUGCAAGUCGAGCGGAGAUCCUUCGGGAUCUUAGCGGCGGACGGGUGAGUAACACGUGGGCAACCUGCCUGUAAGACUGGGAUAACACCGGGAAACCGGUGCUAAUACCGGAUAAUUCUUUUUCUCUCAUGAGGAAAAGCUGAAAGUCGGUUUUGGCUGACACUUACAGAUGGGCCCGCGGCGCAUUAGCUAGUUGGUGAGGUAACGGCUCACCAAGGCGACGAUGCGUAGCCGACCUGAGAGGGUGAUCGGCCACACUGGGACUGAGACACGGCCCAGACUCCGACGGGAGGCAGCAGUAGGGAAUCUUCCGCAAUGGACGAAAGUCUGACGGAGCAACGCCGCGUGAGCGAUGAAGGCCUUCGGGUCGUAAAGCUCUGUUGUCAGGGAAGAACAAGUAUCGGAGUAACUGCCGGUACCUUGACGGUACCUGACCAGAAAGCCACGGCUAACUACGUGCCAGCCGCCGCCGUAACAC
rnacentral:rRNA from 1 species